rnacentral:rRNA from 1 species
UACGGAGGGGGGCUAGCGUUGUUCGGAAUUACUGGGCGUAAAGCGCACGUAGGCGGCGAUUUUAAGUCAGAGGUGAAAGCCCGGGGCUCAACCCCGGAAUAGCCUUUGAAACUGGAUUGCUAGAAUCUUGGAGAGGCGGGUGGAAUUCCGAGUGUAGAGGUGAAAUUCGUAGAUAUUCGGAAGAACACCAGUGGCGAAGGCGGCCCGCUGGACAAGUAUUGACGCUGAGGUGCGAAAGCGUGGGGAGCAAACAGG